rnacentral:misc_RNA from 1 species
GAUGAAGAACGUAGCGAAAUGCGAUAAGUAAUGCGAAUUGAAGAAUUCAGUGAAUCAUCGAAUCUUUGAACGCACAUUGCGCCCGCUAGUAUUCUGGCGGGCAUGCCUGUCUGAGCGUCAUUUCAACCCUCGCCCCCGGCUUUUGCUGGGAGCGGUGUUGGGGAUCGGCCGCCCGUCACUGGGAGGCCGGCCCCGAAAUAGAGUGGCGACCACGCCGUGUGCUCCUCUGCGUAGUAGUAAAUCACCUCGCAGGCGGACAGCGGUGCGGCCUGCCGUAAAACCCCCAACUCUUUCUGGUUGACCUCAGAUCAGGUAGGAAUACCCGCUGAACUUAAGCAUAUCAAUAAGCGGAGGA